AUUUCGGUUCGAAAUUUCUGAAAUUUCGGUUUUGCCCACUGGGGUUCGGUAAAAGUACAUGCCGGACAAAAAUUUCGGACAAAAUUUUUUUAAAAAAAAUUAGCAAAAACGCCCGCACUCCUCCCCCAACCCUAACCCUAACCCAUUUUUCCCCACCGCGCCGCCAAGAGGCGAUUUUUUCGUCCUUCGGCGCCAAAUCCCCCUGCGCCGCUACCUCCAGUUCACGACGGCGCUCAUCCAGCAGGCUGCUCCGGUGGCUCCGGCGUCUUUCCUGGCUGAAAGCCUACGACGCCGCUCGUCCUGCAGCCGGUGGCGAUGGCUCCGGCGCCCCUCUGCGACGCCGCUCAUCCUGCAGGCGGCCGCGGCUCCGGCGCCCCUCCUGGUUGCGAGCGGCUGCGAUCCUGCGCCCUGCGACGCCCCUCCUGCCCCGAGCCCCCGACGCCCCUCCAGUCCUCGCUGUGCCUCCCCUCUUCGAUCCGGCAACUUGGCAUCUCGGCGACAGGGUUUUCGACGGCAUCACGGCGAGAAGGCACUGAAGCAGCGCGGUGUACACACUGAGCUAUGUGAUGAACUUGUAAUGGAUUUAUUGGUGUAUGCAACUAUAAUAGACUAAUUGCUUCCAAGAUGACUUAUUUCUUUUGAAAUCAUGAAUUAUAUGACUGCAAAAUUGUUCUCA